AUUGAACGCUGGCGGCAGGCCUAACACAUGCAAGUCGAGCUAGCGGCGGACGGGUGAGUAAUGUUUGGGGACUGCCCGUUAGAGGGGGCUAACUACUGGCAACGGUGGCUAAUACCGCAUACUGUCGGAUCACCCAUAGGGGAUUAGCUAGUAGGUAAGGUAAUGGCUUACCUAGGCGACGAUGCCUAGCUGGUCUGAGAGGAUGAUCAGCCACACUGGGACUGAGACCCGGCCCAGACUCCUACGGAGGCAGCAGUGGGGAAUAUUGCACAAUGGGCGCAAGCCUGAUGCAGCCAUGCCGCGUGUAUGAAGAAGGCCCUAGGGUUGUAAAGUACUUUCAGUCGGGAGGCGUUACCGACAGAAGAAGCACCGGCUAACUCCGUGCCAGCAGCCGCGGUAAUAC
rnacentral:rRNA from 1 species